UUGCACAAGAUACGAAGACUCCAUCUAAGGAAAUCAACAAUGCAUCAAUUGACAUUGAUGCUGAAGUUUCACGAGAUACCAAGACUCCACUGAAGGAAAUCAGAAAUGCACCAAUUGACAUUGAUGCUGAAGAAACCAAGAGUCCGCAAAAGGAAUUUGAUGUAGCUUCACAAAGAUUUAAGACUCUGCGAAAGAAAGUUGGCACUGAAUUUAGACAUUGAUGCUAGUGAUACGGAUCAUCAAUGUCCUAUGGAAUUGUCAGUUGAAGAUGGCACUGUAAGAGUGGAGACCCCUGGGUUGGAUACCCUUCUGCUGUCUAGUUCUUCAAACUCUGAAGUAAAUGCUUAUGCCAAUUCAGUUAUCUUUCUUAUCCUGUUAUCUUGAGUCUUGAAUUCUCUUUUUUGGAGCAAGUUGCUUUCCAACAAGAGACUUAAAAUCUUUGAGUAUUUUAACUGCCAGAAAUUAUAUAGACAGCACUCUUUUUGAAGUGCAAGAAGUCAGAUAUAGAUCUUGUAUAUCAUCUGUAACUAAUCAAUUGGAAGUUGUUGCAGAACAAGGAAGUUGGUAUGGCUUCAGAUUAUGAAGACAACAUUGGAACUUGUUCGUCAACUUCAGCCUCAAGUCCUGCAAUUGAUUUUAGCUCUAAACUCCGUACAGUUUCACUAGAAGAACGAGUGUCAGAGUAUGGUUCUGGUGGAUAUGAAAUUUUAAGUGUAUUCACCACAUAUUUUUAUGAUUUAACAAUUGAUAUUGUUAUCUGACAGCUCUAUGAAGAGACAGUUUUUGAAAAAUCAUGGGGUUUGGAAAGGAUUUUUUUUAAUGAUUAAAAGUAUGUGAGUAGAAAU